rnacentral:rRNA from 1 species
AUUGAAAGCUGGCGGCAGGCUUAACACAUGCAAGUCGAGCGGGGUGAUGGUGCUUGCACUAUCACUUAGCGGCGGACGGGUGAGUAAUGCUUAGGACUCUGCCUAUUAGUGGGGGACAACAUCUCGAAAGGGAUGCUAAUACCGCAUGCGUCCUACGGGACAAAGCAGGGGAGCACUUGUGACCUUGAGCUGAUAGCUGAGCCGAAGUCGGAUUAGCUAGUUGGGGGGGGAAAGGCCUACCAAGGCGCCGAUCUGUAGCGGGUCUGAGAGGAUGAUCCGGCAAACUGGAACUGAGGAACGGCCCAGACUCCUACGGGAGGCAGCAGUGGGGAAUAUUGGACAAUGGGGGGAACCCUGAUCCAGCCAUGCCGCGUGUGUGAAGAAGGCCUUAUGGUUGUAAAGCACUUUAAGCGAGGAGGAGGCUCUUUUGGUUAAUACCCAAGAUGAGUGGACGUUACUCGCAGAAUAAGCACCGGCUAACUCUGUGCCAGCCGCCGCAGUAA